GCAAGUCGAGGGGUAACAGGAAAGCUUGCUUUCGCUGACGACCGGCGCACGGGUGCGUAACGCGUAUACAAUCUACCUUAUACUGGGGAAUAGCCUUUGGAAACGAAGAUUAAUGCCCCAUAGUAUUAUUGAAUGGCAUCGUUUAAUAAUUAAAACUCCGGUGGUAUAAGAUGAGUAUGCGUUCUAUUAGUUAGUUGGUAAGGUAACGGCUUACCAAGACAUCGAUAGAUAGGGGUCCUGAGAGGGAGAUC
rnacentral:rRNA from 1 species